GCUGGUGAGUGUUUUUGUUUGAAACCAAACUGAAAGGCAAUCCAUACGGGUUGGCAUACUGGGCUACCCAGUGCAUUAGAAAGUGACCUGACAUUAAUCUUUGAAGAGUUGUGAUAAAAAUGUUUGGGAAUUAGACCACAGCCAGUCCAAAAACCUGUGAUACUUUCAGAGUUAUAACAGAGGAGGCCAGAGAGCAGGAGUGAAAGUGAAACGAGUAGAAGAUGAAAUGGAAAAGUGAAAAGAUAACAAUGCAGCAGCAUGUGGUCCAACAAGUGGACGUCCCAAGGUGACUUUGACUUUAAGAUAUUGCCACUUGCCUGAGGCUUUCUUAGCAUUUUUCAUUAUGUGUUGAAUAGGAGAGAUGUCUGCCUGUGGUGAGUGAUGUGUUGAACUCUUAGCCUCUGCGGAGAGAUGGCUGCUCAACCGGACAUUCUGCAGCGGUGAAUUAAACACGACCCAUUUAGAAUUCAGCCCUCUUUAGAAGCGAGAAGUGGACAAUGCAGUCAGUAAAAAACUUGUUGCAGCGUUUCCAGGUCCACAGGGGGUGGGCGAGGGGAAAAACGACCGGUGUUGCAUUUUAAAAGGAGGAUCUCAACCCCUCUUUAUGAGAUUGAAAUUACCGCGCAGGAUGCAUCUGCUCUGCAGCAGGAGGAAUUCAACCAAAAGUGUUUUUGGAAGAGGGGAAACAUUCACCUGAAGCGCUCUGCCCGUUUAACGACAAGUGAGCAGUUCUUUUGUUUAACUUUCACGAUUGAUGGGUGACAGGAAAGCUUAAAGUAGAAUGUUAUAAAAAAUCCCUGAGAAGCAGGAGUGGAAAGAGAGUGAAGCAUGAGAGAGAUGAAACCUUUUUUUCUCCGACAGGAAAUCGUUUGCCUCACUUACCCUGUGGUUUCAUUAAUAAUUUGCAGAAACAUUGUCGAAGAGAAGGGGAACCAAUGCACCCAAUGUUGAAUUUAACAUUUAUUCAAGUCUAUAAGAAUUGAUGUAAAAUUGGUUGUAAAGUAAAAUCAAACUGACAAUGAACCCCUUAUUUGGUCAGUUUUGUUUGUUUAAACUCAAAUUGACAGUAUUACUGCAGUGUUUUCUUUUUAGUGUUUCUGAGGUAAAAUUCCAAUGUUCACUAAAUUACAUUUAUGUGCUUAUUAGACGAUUGAAAGUCAGCACUUUCAGUGAGCAGUGAGCUUUACGUCAAUGACUGAUGUUAAAAGCCACUAACCAACCAUGAAUCUAGGUGUAAUAGUAAUAAAUAAUUCGGACCUCAAAAUGAACAGCCACAACAAGACAGUUCCAAAAUCAGCCUAUCAUCUAAAAGAAUAUAAGGAAGGAUUAGAGGACUUGCGUCUCAACAUCAUUUGGAAAAGACUACUACUUUAACGGUGUGUCCACAAGUCAAUCAGAAAGCUACAGCUGAUAUAUAUUUUCGGGUUGAAUAUAGUUUUGACUCUUUGACAAUAAAAUAUAUAUUUUUUCAUUCUUCACUUAUAUUUAUUUUUUGAUAUUCACUGUUAUUUUUUUCGGUUGCAGAUUUUUUUCGGUUGCAGACAUUUUCCUGUUGGUGCUAGGUCAACAUUUCAGUGAUUGCUUAAGAAAUAUACAGCACUCCAAUGAAAUGAUCAUUUAUGUGGAUGUUUUGUGGAGACAUCUUUUCUCAGUACAAAUUGGAAGGUAUAAUAUGCAUCCAUCCAUCCAUCCAUCCAUCCAUCCAUCGUCAAACCGCUUAUCCUGCACACAGGGUCGCGGGGGGCUGGAGUCCAUCCCAGCCAACUUCGGGCGAUAGACAGGGUACAUCCUGGAUUGGUCGCCAGCAAAUUGCAGGGCUACACAGAGACAUACAACCAUUCACACAUCUACGGGCAAUUUAAAGUCCCCAAUUAACCUGAUCCCCAGAGCAUGUCUUUGGACUGUGGGAGAAAGCCGGAGAACCCGGAGAGAACCCACGCAGACACAGGGAGAACAUGCAGACUCCACACAGAAAGGCCACUGGGCGGAAUCGAACCCAGGACCUUCUUGCUGUGAGGCGACAGUGCUAACCACCACGCCACCGUGCCGCCCACAGGUAUAAUAUCAAUACUAACAAUUAUGAUAAAUAAAAAUAAGCACAAUCAUAAUAAUAACGUUGUCCAGCCCAGGAUUUUCUAAUUUUUUAGGAUAUUUGUUGAAUAAAAAUUAUUUUCAUAUGGAAAAGAAAACCGUGUGGACAAAGAUUGAUUAAUGCAGCAGUAGUAAUAAUGACAGCAUGUAGAUAAUGUAAAAAGGUAUAUUUGCAUAGGUUGUGUUGAUGGCAAAAAAUCUUAAAAUGUAGCACAAAACUGAUAGUGUUAACUAAAAGUAUCUAUUAAAGUGUCCAUUUGUUUUCCUCUUGCUCUUACCUACAAUAUGGAUGGUAACUUAAGUUGUAUUUAAACCUUCUUAAAUUGACAUUCAAGACUCAAAUUAUCUGUAAACAAAAACAUCACUGCCGCUCUUGUGAUCUAAUGUAUCUUUGUUGCGAUGCUGACCAAUUAUCAGAAGUAACUGAUGCAGAUGAUGAGGAUUUAACAGUCCAGUGCCAACCUUCUUUACACAGGGAGGCUGAAUGACGAGUUGUGCAACACUUGGAACACAAAUUCAGCUCAUUCAUACACAUUGCAUACUUGCACCCAUUGUGCACACUUGUGUCAUCCGAUGUAUCUUUCCUCAAAAACUGAGCAGAUCAUACCUACUGCCCGACUUCUCAGGUUGGUAACUUUAGGUAGUUGUCAUGAUGGACAGAGUGUUUCAUGUAACAACAAACGGUGAAUACGGUUCUGUUAGCUGUUGAAACCUGGAACUCACACUUUGCUUUAUGGCAGGGGGUCACUAAUGGGACCUAAUGCACCUUCACUAAACUUGUUCAGAGGUCCAGGAAACACAACAACCAAUAAAAUGCAUUAUAUAUCCUCAUCAGCCAAUCACAUGUCUAAUACAAUAAGGAUUGCAGCUUGAGAUGAGCACAGAUAUUAUGUACAAAUCCCUCCACGAGAGGCUAAACAGUCAAAGUAUGUCAGUUAUUUCACAUGACGCUCUUCAAAAAGACAAACGUGGUGAAUGCGAUCCUUGGACAAUGGAAAGACUUAAAAAUAAAUUACGAAAACCAGGAUGUCUCAUAAAUGUUCAGAGGCCGUGAUGAAAAGCAGCAAUGUGAAGUACCACUUUAAACAAAGAACUCUCUGAAGAAAACAUACCCAAUCAUAUCCAAAAUAAAACAGACUAUUCGAUCAAAAUCCUAACAAUGUUUUGAUGGUCUGUUAACACCCAUAUAUGUGUGCAGGUGUUCUUUUUCUUAUUUUUACAUGUGCAUGUCAUCUAAAACUGUAAAACGCAAGUCUAGUCUGUCCAUUCCGGGAGUGGGAUCCCUCCUCUGACGUUCUCACUGAGGUUUCUUCCCUGUUUUUCAUUUUUGGGGGAGUUUUUCCUGUGCCCAUGUGAGGGUUUCGGGACAGAGGAUGUCGCAUGUGUACAGACUGUAAAGCCCUCUGAGGCAAAUUUGUAAUGUCUGCCUUCCCUACACACGAAGAAUCAAGUGACGAUGAGAGAGAUGGAGCUGAUUUAGGAUAUACAAAGGAUCCAUAUUCAAAUGACUCAGAUCUUGUUACAGAAUCUGAUUCUGGAGAUGAAGAUCCUAAUUUAGCUAGAGAUUUAGCUAAUUGGGCUACCAACACUAAACAAACACACAGAAAUGUCAACGAACUUCUCCUUGUUCUGAGAAAACAUGGGUCUCACCUUCCCAAAGAUGCUCGCACACUGCUUUCCAUCCCAUGGGCAGUUAGUUGUAUACACAUAUGCAAUGGACAAUAUUUAUAUUAUUGCCUAGAGAGGAGCCUCUUGCAACACAGUGUCCAAAUUUCACAGGACAUAUUCAGUUAGUUUUAAAUGUAGAUAGCGUUCCUCUUUUUAAAAUGUCCAAAUUGCAGUUUUGGCCUAUAUUGGCUUUAUUCCAAAAGGCCAAACCAUUCCUGGUAGCACUAUUUUGUGCUAAAGAAAAGCCCGCAAAAGUCAAUAAAUAUUUAUAGGACUUGAUCGAGGAAAUUAAGUCUCUGCAGCAAAAGUGUUUAGUUUAUGAGGGCAUUGCAUCAGGUCAAAUGAAGGCGGCAAGGGCUUUCUUAAAGUGCAUUACUGGCCAUAAUGGAUUACAAGGAUGCGAGCGGUCUGUGGCAACUACCGUAACUGUCCAGAGAAGGGUCACCUACCCCUCCAAAGACAUUUUUUAGUCCAGGUCAGAUGCAGCUUUUUAUCAAGUCUUUUAUGCAGGCCAUCAGAAACAAUAAUCACCUCUGCUGGAGUCCUAUGUGUUAAAUAUUUGCCUUGGACUAUAUGCACCUAGUUUGUCUUUGUGUAGUAAAAAGUUUGCUUAUUUAUCUGUUGCGUGGACCUGAGAAUUGCACGCUGGCACCAAUACUGAGGCAGGAAAUCUCAUAACGCAUGAUAAGGCUGCAGGGUGUCACGCCAACAGAGUUUGCAAGGCAACCUCGUUCUUUCCAAGAAAUCGAUCGCUGGAAGGCAACAGAGUUCCGCCAGUUCCUGUUGUACCCAGGGCCUGUGGUUCCACUAGGCACCUAUUUGGACAACUUCUACGAACACUUUCUUCCAUUGACUGUGGACAAUUCAAUUCUCCUAGAGUCUGAUUCUGAGAAGAGGGAGGCAUAUCUUGGUUAUGCUUCCACCCUACAAUGUCCACAGUUGUGUAGCAUUUGGAUGAGGAUAUUACACACUUCCAAGUGCUCACUGAACGAUGUGUCGUCCUUCCCAUUUGAGAAUCACCUACAGGCAUUAAAGAUGGUGAGGAACAGCAAAAAUCUCAGGUCCUCAGGUGACGAAAACAUUGGCUGAGAUGGAACAUCACCAAAGGCACACAGGGCGGCAAAAACACACGUUCUCCUUGUUGCGUCAAUCUCCGGUCACAAGCCGCACAGAGCACUCAAGGUCCAUAUCCACCCCGGACAGUCGGAGCACACCCAGACUGCAGGGGGCGACGAUGCGGCUAAUGGUGAUUCCACCCACAGGAAGUGCCUGCGUACAAACAGGAAGCGCAUGGCAUAAAAUGUUUGUGGAGAGCUCAGAUGGCCCUCUCACUCGGUCCUGAGGAAAAGGACACUGUGACCACAGCUCCUUAUCUCCCAGAGAGAUUCUUUGUCUGUUCUUUGUCUGAUCCACCGAACCACCCUUAAGAGAAAUAAAGGAUCAUAAAAUCAACAGUUCUUGAGUUGUCCUUUGCGUCCACGGGAGAGGAAGCUCUUUUCAAGUUUGGGCAGAGUCGUAGUCAGUCCGAAAAAUCACACGAAACUUGACACUCCUCAAAGAUGACCGUCAUGACUUUGUGUUGUAGAAAAGAUCCAACGGUACUCUUGUUGCAGAAACAAGACCUAUUUGAGAGUCCCUGGAAGUCAAAGCUCCUUCUCAUAGUUUGUCAGAAGUCCCAUGGAGAAAGCAAAAAUAUGUCUGUUGCAGCCCAAAGACUUGCAUAGAAAAGCAGUGUGUGCCGUGUCCAAGAAACUGUGUUAGUCCAGGCAUAGUUGUCAUGAUGGACAGAGUGUUUCAUGUAACAACAAACGGUGAAUACGGUUCUGUUAGCUGUUGAAACCUGGAACUCACACUUUGCUUUAUGGCAGGGGGUCACUAAUGGGACCUAAUGCACCUUCACUAAACUUGAUCAGAGGCUCUUUUCAAGUUUGGGCGCCAGUGACGGUUGUUGACCGUCACUGGCGCCGUGUUUUCCGAGGCAGGUCUGUUGUGCAGGCAGCUCGUGUGCGUGUGGCGACCGUACAAUCCACCUCGACACCCCGCCAACAACGCCGUCCCCUCCGUCCGACGUGAGCUCCACGGUGGCGGAUUUCCACCUCGUCAUCAGCCAGCACACUUUGUCUCGAUUCCAGCAGCUGUAAAAACAACAAUGAAUCAGUACUGUGCGAUGCGUACGGACACAACACAGCGAUCAAUGCACCUGAAACAAGUCAGCAAAUAAACUCUGACCGUCUUUCUUCUCGCUCGACUCCGCGCUGAAUCCUUCGCAGCUUCCGCCCGCAAUGAGUGUUCCGCCUGAACCUGAAGCUCCUGCGUCCCCUCUCACAAUACGUCUCACAGGCGGCUGGAAAACAAUUAAAUGAGUGUGGUAUGAAUACAAAAAAAAUCGUAAGUCACAGUAACAUUUAACAAGGAAGGAGAAACAGUGUCACUUACACACAAUGACGUCGUCUAAAUCUGGACUUUUCCUGGAGCAAAUACGAGGUCACCGCCUCAUUAUGAGGCGAGAUUAGUCUGUGAAAACAAAAUGUACAGUUAUGAUCGUUAUCUAUACGUAUAUAUUCCCUUAUACCGCAGAAUGAAAGCAUAUUCUGUAAAUCUGACCCUUGCUCCGGUUCGUAGCGCCUGUAAUUCGUCUCGGAGUUGUGAAGACGGCGCACCGCUUCCUGUAAACGACACGGCAAAGAAAAUAGACUUUAAUAAAGCUGUUUCUGCUCACUUGUAAGGCUACUAGGCUACUCUUAGCUUAGCUUGAGGCUACGCUACUUUUAGCUUAGCUUGCAGUUAUCGAACGUAUUCUUACCGCUUUCUUGGGAUUGUGCGCCCGUCUCCUCUUCUUUGAGUCGGUUCCUCUCCUCCAUGGACAGAAACCUGGAGAUUCCCGAACGCGAACCGCUCGUUGAUAUCGGCAAUUUGUUGCUGGAGUUGACGAGACGAUCCACUGAGAGCUUUCAGCAGCUUCUUCUCGUCUGUCUGCGGACUGGCUGAAAGUUGGUGACCGCGGAGAGGAGUUGAACGCAAGACGUCGUCCAGCCAUUAUUCACGAAGCAGCAAAAACCAAACAAAGGAACUGGAGAUACAGUUCUUCUGAAUAUAGUAACACACGCGUGUCUGUUUGUGUGCUCGUCUUGCAAGUACUGCUGUCUGAGUCAUGUCUAUGACCUCACACGUGAUUGGACGAGGAGUCUAAGGGUCCUCCAAUCAGAUACGAGGUUAUUGUUAGACAGAAGGACCAGUAUUUUAGGAAGACAAAUGGUUGGGACUUUGAAACAGCUAAUAUGCUUUAUGUAAAGCAGUGUUUUGGUGUCAGCAGAACGACUUUCCCUAGAAAUCUGUACAGUGGUGCCUCUUUCUCCAUUCCACCAGACACUCUUGGAUGAGUCUGACAGACAUGCAAUGUUGACAAUGUAUCAUCACAUGUACCCUUGUGUCACUGAGGUUGAAGGUUUUGCCAUGACAUGUAAACGGGUAACAUAUAUGAAUGUAACUUACUCAAUCGAUAGAUGCAGAGCAUAAAGGUCAGCAUGUGUUCAUGCUAAGUGGUGUGGAAACACUAACAGUUUUGAGGAACCCGUCCUUGACCCUCUAGCAGAACUACGACCAGCCAUUAUAAAGCAGUUUAUAGUUGUUAAUGUGGUGUCAAAGGGUACGGCAUUUAAACAUGUUCUUGCACAAGUUUCCUGGCUUCAUCUCCACCCGGACAGACAUUUUUAUGGAAAGCCAAUAGAAGUUUGGGGCUUGCAGGGAACAGACACGUCAUACAGCAUCAUUUCUGCCAGUUGAGCGCAUUGCUAGAAGAUGUGUGGUUAAUACCUAUAUUUAAUAGGUUAAUAGUCUAUCUGAUGGUGGUUCUAUCUGAUGGUGGUUGCCCCUGCAGUGGUCCUGCUGUGCGCCUGGCUUACUACUCACAAUUACUUGAAUCAUUUCUGUCAUAGGAAUUGCAUGUAUUAUAUACUGUUCAUUCUGUACACAUGGCAUCCAUUGUAGUCUGUCCAUCCCGGGAGUGGGAUCCCUCCUCUGACGUUCUCCCUAAGGUUUCUUCCCUUUUUUCCCUCUUGUAAGGGUUUUUUCAUUUUUUGGGGAGUUUUUCCUGCGCCGAUGGUGGGUUUCGGGGCAGAGGAUGUUGUAUGUGUACAGACUGUAAAGCCCUCUGAGGCAAAUUUGUAAUUUGCGAUUAUGGGCUAUACAAAAUAAAAUGACUUGACUUGACUUAAUACAUCCUCUGUGCAUUUAAGUAGGACCAAAGAAAAGGUCAUUGUGGUCCUGCCACUAUGCACUGGAGUUGAGCUCUAGGAGACUGAUCUCUGCAGACCCCUCAUGCUGAUUCAAAUGUUGUGAAUUAUCUAAGGCAGUUAUUUGCAAUGACCUCCCCCUCCAGAUGGGAGGUUUAGGAGCCUGGGAGGGUCAUGUUACUCUGUAGGGAGUAUGAUGUGUGUAAGUAAAAGAAACAACACACCUAACUGCUCUGAAUACCAAAUAGCAUCUUGUGCUGCUGUCUUGUUUGGACACACCAGUAAAGUGCAGCUUUAUUCAGGAUGCACAAUGGAUCCAUGUCUCAGUGAAGAACUGGGAUCAACGGUCACUGACUGCUUUUACCCGUCUUGUUUUUCUACGACUGGCCAUGGGGCAGCAAGCAGCAGUCUUUGUAGUAGAGUAUCCUUAGGUCCCAGUUGGGUUAGGUUAUCUUCCAUUGGAGCUCUCCUUUCCAGAUGGUGAUGAAUUAUUUAUGUUUAGAAGAAAAAAAGCAACUAGUACUUUUAUUAUUUUUAUGCUAACGAGACAAACCCUGGUCAGAAGACCACAGCACCAUAACAAGGCUGCUGGGGGUUUAGAUCUGUCCUUAAGAAACAGGCAUCCAGUAUGAGGCAAUGUGUAAAUUCUUGCUCUUUAUUAAGGUUUAGAAUCUAGGGCAGAAAGUAAAUGGCUUUGGAGAGCUGAAGAGAAGUGACCAUUAUCCAGUCCCAUUUACUCCAGAGUUCAGGGCACAAUCACAUUCACACAAUCAAGUAUCAGCUUCCCUCCAUCUGGGGCCCAAACAAAGGAAACGCUGCAGUUCCUCAUCAAACUGAAUACGGAUUCCAUUUCCCUCAGGGAAAACAACACAAUGAAGAGCCAAGAGGGUUAAUGAUACUUUUGAAUAACUCUCCAUUUGGGCCAUUCGAGGUGGAAUUUUCUGAAUGAGUAAGUGAGAAAGAGCGAGAGGAACGUGCUCCGGGACAGUGAUCCCUUUCGAUUAUAAACAGGCACUGCUGCUUUAGCUUUUAAAAAUGAAUUAAGCUCAAGAACAAUCAGAAGGCAUUGUCAUGUAAAUGUGUGGGAUGUUUUGUUCUGUCAGGACACAUGUAAAAAUCUAAUGAAAGUGAACUCCAGGUUGUCUGUAUGUCAAAAGGUUUCCCAGCAACAGAUUCCCUUUAGAAAGUCUCAUUUUGCAUUCCUGGCUUCAUGUGGCUCCUGAUGGAUCGAGGCCUUCAAACUAGGACCAACACCUCUGCUCCUGUCUGGAGGAGGAAAGAAAACUUUCUAAUCAAUUUAUGGUUAUUUUUGUUGCUUCCACAUUUAGUUAACACAUUUUUUACCUAAGGAAUGAAUAUCUAGCCAGAUGGUUAGAUAUCCAUUCUUUUUCCAUCACCUCCCAGCUUGUUGUUACAAACACACACCUACAUAAUAUGUCUCUAACAGAUGCAACUGUUAGCAGCAUAAACUAUUCUCAUGUGUAUCCCCUAGUGACUAAUGAAUGGUAUGCAUGUCUCUGAUGCCAGCAACAGCGUGAUUUCACAAAAACAUGUAUUACUAUUGUACUAUCAACACAUUUUAUUAUGACUAAAAAGCAAGAUUGACAUGGUUCUUGUUCACAGAUUUAGGUAUUAUUACUUUUCUGCACUGGAUUGCUUUAUAUUUUUUAUUUCUGAAAUCCUUCUUUAAAGAUCACUUGGCUGAAAAGUAACCUUCUAUAAAAAAUUAUGAAUAAAAAUAACUAGCAUUUAGCUUCAUAUUUGUAUAGCCGAGCAUACUCUAAAUGUUAAAGCCACUUUACCUCCAAUUUUGUCUUCAGCACUAUAAAAGUCAUGUACCUCCCAUGGAAACAGCACAACCAUGGCAAGUAGUAGAGAAAACUCAGUCAUAAUGCCAUAAAAAAGAACACAAGCAGACACAAUUUAUAUAGAAAAUAAUAGGAUCAGUCGGCAAGUUCCACAAAUCUUCAGAAAUGUCUCUAGUUUACAAAUAAUUAUAACAAUAACAUGCCUUCCCCACAUACAAUGCCAUUCACAAAACCUACACACAUAAGAGUCCAAUAUGAGAUUAUGCUCCCUUGUACUAUACUUAACUUUGAUGACAUGGAAAAUUGAUCUGUGCCAGCUUGUGUUAUCGAUCACGCACACAAGAGGAAUUAUCAAUGCGAGAACCGUCACAUUUCAAGGUCCAUAGUCUAUGGACCACAGCAUUGCUGAUAUUAAAAAUAGGCUUCAAUUUAUACUGUUUAUCCAGCAGGAAUACGUUGGAUAAUUUACACCUACUUCGCUUUUUUAGGAAGGAUGUGGCGUUCUGACGAACCAGGCGAGGUCUGCCAACUAAAACCAGCUCGCCCGGUGGGUAAAGACCAUCUCACUGUUGAUGUGUUUGUGACACACCUUAUUUCACCCUUUCACAUUAUUUUAAGGUUACAAUAGGACAGCCAAUGCAUAUCAACUGAAUUAUUGGGGGCGAGGGCGCUAUUAGGCACAAACAAUGGCUGUCAGAGGCAGUCAAUUGACCCUUUGCUAAGCCCCCCUGACCCUGCUGCUACUCAUUCAAGGUAUCACAACAACCCACACUGUAUGAAUAAUAGGUUUAGUGCUUUCAGAGUGAAUUAGUUAAAAGCAUAUACAAUGUGUGCUUAAAUUUUACAUCCAGGCUGGAGGAACUGAAGCGUUUUUCCUACUCGUACUGCGCUAAGCAGCAACGGCUCUGAGCGUGCUGUACAUGCCAUGUACCGUAUUUCUGCGUUGAUGCUCAAUGCACUAUUCAUUGCCCUAUUCUCCAAAAUGCCAGACGACGAACAAAUAAAAUGAACUGAAAAUCACAAAGACAAAUGUAACAAGCAAAAAGCCAUUGGCCAAUAUCCACCUUGCCGAGGAGGAACUGUAAUUACUUUUUAACCCAUAUCUCGUAUUUAUGAACUACGUUAUGGUCUUUAUCCCUGUAGUUUCAGAGACCUUCAGCAAUUCUUUCCUUAAAAAACCUGUCGCAUGAAAUGCUAUUACACGUCUACACGCUAAUGCACUGCAAGCUGUUGAAGGCAUUUAAAUGCCGAUUCCAAAAUGGUAGCCGUUGCGAAGUAACUUAGUCAUUUCAGAAGGGACAUCAUUGAUGAAGCCACACCUGCCCUGAGGAGGACAUUAUCUCACCAGCAGUGUCAGCCAAUCUCAUUACUGAGUACAGCAAAGAGUGGCUUAACCAUACUCCUGGCCCCGGCUCACGUUCCUCAACACAGAAGAAGGAACAGUUGAUAGCUCCGUGGGGUUGUCCAUUGGCACUGUGCUGGUACACCUGCAAUUAGACACACAGCAGCCCAAACAUCAGCCUGUGAGUGCCUUCACUAGGAGCGUUCCCGCCUCCACACCCUUUUCUGUUCCUCCCUCAGAAGAAUAUCUGAGGCAGCAUGCCUGCUGGUGAGACACCAGGGCUCUGUCCUGUUUUGCGUCUGAAGGUCGAGUCCUGGCGGCCUUGCCCGUACGCCAGCCAAGUUUUCCCUGAGGAGACCCUGAGGCCUGAUGCUGGGUGCCCUCAUCCCCAAUGUCGGGUCAUUGACGAUCUUUAAUCUAAGGCUUAUGACGCACCAGCCCCCAUGGGCCGUACUGGGAACUCCCUUCCCCACCUCAUGCCUGCACUCUCGACUUCUCUGCAGCAGGCUGCUAUCAAAGCUUCCGCCACCGGCCUCAGUGACGCCUCACCGCAGGCGUUUGCCCUUGUGUCGAGGGUACUUGGACGUCAGAUAUCCACCCUGGUCCAGACUCGCCGUCAGGUUUGGCGGGGCAGACACCCCUGUCAGAGUCAUGUAGAAGGGUCCUCUGUAGUGGAACCUGGUGAGCUGCUCGGGUUAGAUGCUACACCGGCGCCUCAGCUAGACAGGUUGGGCACACACAACACUUUCAUCAUCAUUUUCUGUGACCGCUGUGAACUGCUAAACCCAGAACUGCUAAAGCUAAACCCAAUUAACAAUUGACAAUUAACUGCAUGCACACGGCUCUGAAAACCGAUUUGUGUUCUGGUGGAUGGCAGUUUACUAACAGCAAUAGUCAGAAAGGCAACAUUAGAACCUGAGGGGAAACCAAGGCUUUGGGCGUCAACAACAUCAGGGUGGCAGUGGUAUCCGCUAUAUGAACGCUGUGCAGUGUGGAGAAAGACAUUGCUUUCAUUCUUAUGACGGGUAUUUAACUACUCCGCUGAUGAUAUUCAAAAGUCAUUAAAAUUAACUAGUUUGCCUUUUGGUUUGUGUUAAGGUUUAAUGAAUUGGCAGGCCAUAUAUGAUGGGCUAUUUAUCUAAUACUUUUAUUUUCUGUGCUCCAUUUUGACCAUAAUUAUGUAUUAUGUUGUUGCAGAUUGCAGCUGUUGGGUGUAUUUUUGUGUUUGAAAGAAAAUAAUAGAGUAAAAGAGGAAGCUAGAGACCUUGCCUGGCUUUAAUUUUGUCCAAUUACUUGAUGUGGAGGAAGCACUGGAACAUGGAGAUCUUUCAGUUUAUUGAAAACCUUAUUUUGUACAGAAAGUUUCAAAAAGGUUUCCUGAACUUGAUGUGUCUUUGUCAUUUCUUGAAAUUAAGUUGGAGGAAAAAUAAUUUGCUCAAAUGUUAGAAGUGGUGAAAGUAAUACUUUACAAGGACGUAUUCCAAAUUACCUGGAUUUUUUGCACACGGUUUUAGUCAUACAAACUUUUCUGCACAUUCCUCACAAGUCAGAACAUUUGAGCAACAUUGCCUUGAAUCAUGUCUAGAGCUGUGACUUUGGGGGCUCACGACACACACUAGCCAUAUGUCUUGAUUCGUGGGCUGCCUCCUCAUGAGGACCCAGCCUUCGCGGUAGACCCUGGCUGGUUUCUCCAAUAAAUUUAAAUUAAAUCUGUUAAACCAUGUGCUUUCAGCUAAACAUUUUAACAUUGCAAUCUUAAGGCAGAGGAAAUCCAUCAAUACUGUAGACGAUGUUGAGCAUCUGUACUCCUCAGAAGCCUACACCAGGAUCCUAUUUUUGGAUUUUGGACAGUACAUUCAAUACAAUUAUGCAUGACAGGACCACCCGGGAAACUCUGGGGGUCAGCCCGGCGGGUGGCCAGACGAGCGGGGAGCCUCUGGGGGUCGGCCCGGCGGACGGUCACCAGGCCGGCUCCGGAGCGGCGACUGCACGGGGACACGGAAAACCUCCGCAGUCGGCGGCGGCGGCUCGGCGGCACGGAACACGUCCGCGGUCGGCGGCGGCGGCUCGGAACACGUCCGCGGUCGGCGGCGGCGGCUCGGAACACCUCCGCAGUCGGCGGCGGCACGGAACACCUCCGCGGUUGGCGGCGGCUCGGGGGCACGGAACACCUCCGCGGUUGUCGGCGUGAGGAUGCAGGAAGCCGGAGUUGCCAGCUGGAGGGAGCGGGAAGCCCCCGGAGUCGCUGUUGCAACCCCUGCCAUGACCCCCCCCUCAAGGGCCGGAUCCCAGACGGCCCUCAAAUCGGCAACGGGAGGGAGGGAGGGAACCUGAGUCGGGGAGCGGGGACCGGAGGCGUCAGAGUCAUGAGUCUCGUGGCUGGCACUGGCCGAGUCAAGGGCAUGGAUUGUGAGGCCGGUACUGGUCGGGGCGGGGGCAUGGAACGUGGGGCCGGUACCGGUCGGGGCGGGGGCAUGGAACGCGGGGCCGGUACCGGGGGCCGGGGGCAUGGAACGUAGCGCUGGCUCGGGGGCCGGGGGCAUGGAUAAUGGCGCUGGCUCGGGGGCAUGGAAAAUGGCGCUGGCUCAGGGGCAUGGAUCAUGGCGCUGACUUUGUUUUGACAUGGGACCUUCUUAAAAGGAAUCUUGAACGUAAUAGUUUAAAUAUGUACAGUCCUCUCUACAUGGCCUUCCAUAGAUUAUAAUUCCAUAGACCAUCAUUAGAAAUAUAUUUGUAACAAAAGACAACUUAAUCCUGCAGAAAAUAUGUAAUAAUACUUUAGGACUGCGAAGUUGGGAUACAUUUUCCAGUGGAAUCUAAAAUAUUGUACAUAUUGUAUUUGUUUACUUAUGUGCUGAUAAGAACAUUGAGAAUAACCGCAAAAACAAACUUGUGAUGACUGGCUUCUGUAAAUGGUGUCCUUGUAUAGCUUCCGAACACAAACGCUUUUACACUACAUGUCAUCAUUGACACCUAACUUUGAGUGUCUAAGCACUCGUUGACGUGGAAUUGGGGAUGGAACCAUAUUUCCUCAUUGAAGGAAGACCACGCUCUUGACUUGGCCAGUCGCCCAUUGACUCUCUAGUUUUCUUGUUGAAGUGUCCUUCUGCAUACUUGGGAUUCUAAUCUUAAAUUGCUCCAAUGCGCCUGACCUCCUAGGAAGCCAGGUCAUGUAACCAAUUUUGAAGGCAAAUAAUAUUCUUAAGCAUGCCAAUUAUUGCAUUAUGAAGCACCUCAGUAAAUGAGUGAGGAGGAAAGGCUGAAGGUUAUGGCACAGAAAGAAAAAAAAAAGCAAAUUCAUUAUGGAGGUAAAUAAUAAGAAACAGUUUCAUUAUCACUCCCUUGUUCUUUGAUGCAUUCACAGGGGAGCUUAUUAGUCUCAUUAUUAUGCAUACAUUACAAAUUCAGGCACCCCCACUGACUUUUAUUUAUAUCAUAAACAUCAUGUCAACUUUCCUGGAGAUGUGUGCACGUCUGAGGGUGGCAGCGCCUGUGGAGAAAAGCAGGCUAAUUGAUUGUCAUUGCAGCAUGUAACAUAUCUCAAGGUCUGCUGAACAGACAGCUCCUUAUUUAUUAGAGGGGUAAAAGUUUGGCAUCGAAAAGUUUCCUGUGACCCUUUCUGGCUGCAUGUUAGUUGAGCCACAGCUGUUUAUAUGAAGUGCAAUAACAUUUCCAUUAUAGAAAUGAAGGAAUGUGUGUUCAGAUAAGGGCUGCAGCCAUUCACAGUUCAUAAUUAUAUCUAUGAAACGUAAUGGGUUUAAAUUAUCCAUGUAAUUGUGAGCCAGGAGAGAUGAUAAAAAGUUUAAGUUAAAAAUAAAGUGCACCAGCGAACGGAAAGUGACUAUAUAUGUAUGUGCAUGUGGAGUAUGAAGAAAGUGACCGGUGGGAUGUCAGAGUCAGUCAGUGGGGGACUGGCUCUGUUGAUGAGCCCGACUGCAAACGGGAAGAAACUGUUGGUGUGGCGGGAGGUCUUAGCCCUGAUGGACCUCAGCCUCCUGCCAGAUGGAAGGGGUUGUCCGGGGUGAGAGGGGUCGGCUACCAUCUUUUUAGCUCGCUUCAGAGACCUGGACGGGAACAAGUCCUGCAGGGACGGAAGAUGCAGCCGAUCACCCUCUCUGCAGCAGGCAUGAAAAUCCCUCACCUUUCGGCGAAAUUUGCCGUUUUGAAACCAAAAUAGGUGCCCUACGUGAAGUGUAGAUUCGAUGAGGUGUUUUUUCGGGGGGUAUUCAUAUUCAGUGAACUGCUUAACAGGUGCGCGUGUCAGAAGGGAGCGCGAGAUUGCCCGCCUGAAGGACUCUCAGACCAUGAGAAACAAAAUUCUCUGGUCGGAUGAAACAACGAUUGAACUCUUGGCCUGAAUGCCAAGCGUCAUGUCUGAAGGAAACCAGGCACUGCUCAUCACCUGGCCAAUACCAUCCCUACAGUGAAGCAUGGUGGUGGCAGCAUCAUAAUUGUGGUGGAAGAUUUUGCACAGACAAUCGUUAAGUAAGAAACAAAGGCUCUGUAUCAAGUAUGUCUUUUCUCCGUUUAUUUCCUUGCAAGGGAAAAAGGGUCACAACAGCUACGUUGUCAGUAGACUGUCAAGAACCUCCUUUUCUUCCCAACACAUCGAGGCAGUUCUUAUACCUAAGUUUAGAUAUCGGUGGCGUCAACAGAAACCUUUGACCAUCUUGUUGAGUAUCUACAGUCAGGGUACUGGGAACAUCUUAUCCAUGUAAGACACAUCAGCUCUUUGACCGUGUCCUUGCUCUCCCAACAUGCUAAAACAAAGGUGGUCAUAGACAUAACAAACACUUUGUUCAAUCUCUACAGCUAUGACGCUGGAAACAUCUAAUCCAAGUGGGAGACAUCAGUUCUUAUGUCAGGGCCUUUGUGAUCUAACCACUUGCAACUAAUAAACUGGUUAUACAAAUGAAGCAUUUAAAAGGGUCACAUAUCAUUUUCCCAUUACAUUCUACUCUUUUCAACUAUGCAUUCAAUUUAGAAUGACUACUCUAAAAAUGUACCAUCUGAUAUUUACCUCAUCAAAUAUCACAAAACAUGAACAUCUGGACAUCGCUCACAAAACUUUGCCUGCCACAGAACAAAAACUCCCCAAAAAAACCUCAGAAAUGGGAAAAUAGAAAGAAAUCUGUUAGGAGAAGAUAAAGACUGGAAACCUUCUCACAGGAUUUGAGCGUUACACCCCAGAUGUCAUGUGUACAGUAUUGAAAUAAAAAAGAAAUGAAAACAUGUUUAAAUCACAAUACCAGAACUUGAUCCCCUUUCACACAAUACAGAUAUAGAAUAUUGUGGAAAGGUCAUUAUAUCAAUCAUAUUUACGUUACAUACUAAUAAAUGCAGGGAUAAAAGCUGUUUUUGUGAGAAUGUUAUUUCUCAUUCUUUUAGCAAGCUACUGUGAAACAAAAAACAUUUAGAACACCAGGAAUGCACACAGACAGUGUGUCACUACGUCACUAUGCGUAUGUGUCGAGUCCGAGUCACUGUUGGGGUUAACGUCAGAGUCGUUCCAUGAUAAGAGAGAACCACUCUUUAGGUAGCGGACUACGGAAUCACAAAAAGAUGCUGAGAUACAAUGAAACUGAAGCAAGCAAUAAUAUGAAUAAAACCGUAGUGACACAAACGACUACUGUGUCUAUGUGGAGGGGUCCUGGCCGUGUUCUUGUUCUUGUGUUGGUCCGCAGGUACACGUUGGGGUGUGGAGUCUGCCAACCUUCUUUCUUGUGAGGCAUCCGCGUUGUAGACAGUCAACACAGAUCACAAUGCACUGUGUGUCUGUCGGUCAACUGCCCGUCCGUGGUCACUGGAUCGGUGGUGUCGGUUGAUUGACACUUGUUGUGGAGGUAGGGUCGCCUGAGCCCACUGCUGGUACUGGAUCUGGAACCUUCUUGCAAUGGGAUGCUUGGACCCAAGUUGCCCUUUCAGCUACCUUGACCGCUGUUUGGGUGACCAGGAGAAUCUGGAAUGGACCCUGCCACCGUUUAGCUUUCCAACUUUUCCUCCUGAAGUCCUUCACCACCACGAAGUCACCUGGUUGCAGUCAGUGUAGUGGACCCGUUGCUUCUCUUGGAAGUGCAGCUACAACCUGUUUUCUUACAUCAGACAAAGUGGAAGACAGUCGAAUGCAAUAGGUUAACAUGUCAUUCUCGCACAUUGUGGUGGAAGGGAGUGGUGUUCCUGGAGCUUCCACACCUAUAUGGGGAGGAACUGCGAAAAGGAUUUCAAAUGGGCUUAGGUUGCUGCGUGUUCGUUUCCUCGGCACAACUCUGUGAAUGUCCUUGAGUGGCCCAGCCAGAGCCCCGACUUGAACCCCAUUGAACAUCUCUGGAGAGUCUGGAGAGUGUUAAAUAUUUAACAUUUAUUCAGUUUAACCUAAUAAGGACAUCUUAUUCAAACAAUUCAGUAUAUCAAUCAAUAUAUAUAUAAAAAAACAACCUAAAAUGUUAUUUCCAAGGAACAUUUUUAUGUCUGGCCAAAAUGUCUUAUUCAUGAUGCUAGUGGAGGCCUCGAAGUAUUCCCAUGCAGUGAUUUUCAAAAGACAAUAGUACAACCUAUUGGCAUAGGGAAAUGCAAAAGUUCAAAUUCAUAGUCAAAACGAAGGUGCUUUUGAGGGACUAAAUAUGCUCUAAUCUUUACUAAACUUGGAAAAUACAUUUACAGUUAAAGAUGUAGUUACCUCAUAUGAUUUUAAUGCUGACAAAUAGCAUUUUGGCUCGAUAGCACCCCAAAAAAGGUCUCUUGGGACUAUGCUCUAAAAUUAACAGGAAGUCAGUCAUUCUUUUUGUGUGAUAUUUCCUCUAUUUUUUGCACUUACUAGACGCUAUACUUUGACAAACUCCUCCCUGGGACUGGGACAGAACAAUCUCAUGGUUAUUAAAGGUUAAUAAAACCCUUUUGUUUUGUGUUAUGCUGUUGCCAUGGCAAAGGUGCUUUUGAAGAUCUACAUAUGCUCCAAUUUUACCAAGUUAAAGAUGUAGUUACUUGAAAUGAUUUAAAUUCUUAAUAAUGCCAUUUUAGCUCAAUAGUGCCCCUUACACGUAUUCAUAAAGCACCCCCAGCAACUGCUUUGAUCCUCCAAUUGGAGGCCACGGCUUUGAUCUAGCUUUGCAGAUUUCUCCCCCAUAUCAGCAGAGUAGGCUUGAAAACAAUGAAACAUGUUGGUCAAAUGUCCCACUGUGACUGACAUGACUGGACCUCUGUCCAAAUGAUCCACUUGAUAAAAGCAGAGGUCUGUGCAGUCACUUGACCACAGCUCUGCUCUCUUCAGGAAGCCACCCUCGUUGCCGUUCAGAUUUAAAUAACGGUCAGCAGAGACACAUUCAGUGUGUUCAGUUAACAAAAUGUAUCUGCCAGACCUCUACUCAAUCAGAAAGGUGUUGUGGUGGCGGGCGUGGUUUGGCUCGGCUGCAGAGGGGACGGAGACGGCAGUGGUUCGGGGAACGGUGCCAGGAGGAGGCAUAAUUGGCCUCAGGUGUUUAAUCAGUGUGUGUGUUUGUCCUGCUGUUAUGUAGGAGAGAUCCGGCGACGGCGAGAGGGGGCUGGGCCGACGAGGAAGCCGGAGCCAAUCGUGUGUUAUUUGGAAACGUGUGAAUAAAAGCACAUACAAUGGACCCAACUGCUGCGUGCUCGUCAUUCCGAGACCCUCCCGUAGGACGAACCUGCCACAGGUGUGGACUUCACAGGUUAAUACAUCUCUGUUUUCUCUGCAAAUUUUAGUACAGCAUGGCCAGUAGCCUAGUGGUGAGGCAGGGCUGUCAAACUCAUUUUAGGUUUGGGUCAGAUACUGGGCAAUUUGAUCUAAAGGCCCGUUCAUCGCUUCUUGCAGCUUUAAUUAUUAUUUACCAUGGCCGUUGUAUAUAGAGCAACAGGGGGGAAUUUUGUUUUGGGGUCGUGUAGGCAGAUGGCGAAGCAGUCAGUGCUCUGAGGCGAUUGCCUUACAUGGCGAACCAAACUAACUGUGGACAGAGGACUACGCUGGAAGCUGAGAGGACUGCGGCGAGGUAGCGCAGAGGGGGGUGGGGGAUGCUCGCGGCGCCACGUCACGCUUUCCGCCUGAGGCGGAGCUUUGCUUGCCAAUUUUGGAGACGGUGGGAGUUAUUUCUGUCGGUUAAUUUUGUUAUAUUAGACUAAAGCAGUGAAAGAUGUCCAUUAACAGUCGAUCUGCCCAUUCCCUUUUAAGUUAAACCGGAGGGGGAAUUGUUACACAGUAAGGGAUGAAACUUGGUGAGUGGUCUUGUAUGUUCAGUGAAGAAGUAACACGACCCCCCCCCCCCUCCUGCCUGUGUCACACGGAUGAGUAACUUUUGACAUUGCUAUUACUGCUAUAAAAUGUGUUGACACAUGUUUGAUGGAUGGAUGACCAAAAACCAUUUUGCCAUUGUGGUAGUGAAAACUGAAAUCCAUCACAUGAAACACAAAGUAAAUAGCUGAAAGAAUUGGAAGUAUCCAUUUUAUUUUAGAACUAGAAGCACAUUGGAACAAUGGGCUGUGUUCUAAAUCUAGUCACAUCCGUUUAGUCUCAUUCACAAAGACGACACCAUCAUCAAGCUACCGGACAGCAUCAGCCUAGCCUCAAUGUCAUAGACAUCUUAGGAUAAUCAUACAACGCUUUAACUCAGUGACACGUCAUUACUACAAUUGGAUGUAGUAACGAUAUUCUGCACUUUUGGGAUUAGUUUUACAGACAUCUGCCCGCUAUAGUAUCCCCACAAUAUUCAACAAGCUAACAGCCUUGGCUAUGGAGUAGUGGACUGGCUUUUUGUGUGACAAUUCAAGUAGAUAAUGUUUACUUUUGGCAUAUAAGAAAUGAAAAAUAGCAAAAACUCAUAGUGGCCACUACAUCUCACAAAGUUGACUUGAAUUUGUUCAACAAAAACAAAAAGAACAGCGGGUCAAUGGAGCCUCAGACCCCUCCACGUAUGGGCCAGCUAGUUUCCCUGCCACGGCGGAGUGCUAGAUUGAACAGCAGGUGAGUCGUGACCAUGAUUCACCGGGGAAGCUAGUGCCUGAUAGCCAGUAGCAUGGCAUCGAAAGCGUCAUGGUCAUCGCUACCACAAACUACACAUGGAUCCCUAAACUUGGAGUUGCUGCCAUUCCUUAGUCCAGGCGGCCUAGAAUGCUGAGAGGAACCCUGCUUUAACAAGCGCGGCUCGUCGAGGGGGGAGGAGACAGCAGUUUGAACGUGGCUGUGCAGAUUUGUUGUCUUGGAAGAUCUCAAGGAGUUGUCAUGAGUCUUAUUUUGUCUUUGUCGUCCUUCCAGUAGUCAACUGCUGUCUCAGCCAAGAAUGGCUUGGUGUCAUAAAAGUCAGCUAUAUAAUAUUUGCGCUAGGACUGGAGAUUCACCAUAGAAACGGUGAACAUCUGCUAAUACAGCAGUGGUUGUAACAACAAUCUUGCCUUCAGUUACUGAAGAACUGUGCUUGAUAAAGUGCAUCAUGAUGAGCUUGAUGUAAAACAGUUACGGAUAGUCAGCAGUACUGGAAGCCAGGAGCUAAUAGCGGACAAGAAGAUAAUCGUGAUUCAUGGCCGUGAUCAGUUCUUAAAUUGCUAAUGAGCUACAUACCUAUUGUGUUAGUGAAAUUUCAUCUCUAGAAGGCCUCACACCCAAAUGAGGUCUGUCAUCAAAAUAAGUCAGACUAUGUAGUUCAAGCUAUAUAAAAAGUAAGAAGUCACAAAUUGAAUCACAUGAAUAAUAUUCGUUUCGUUCGACAGACUGAACCCAGACUGUCAGACCCAGAUGUAGUAAAAUCCCCUCAGGGGCCAUCAAAAUCAACGCGAGUGAAAGCUCGUCAUGGUAGUGGUUUCAGGAUUUGUCCAAUUUGGUGAACGGGGCUUGUGCAGCAAUCAGACUCUUCUUUUUGUUUCUUACACCACUGAUCGCAUGAGGGAGGGUUGGGGUCAGAGACCGGUAUAUGCAGUGGCGGCUGGCUCAUAAAAUAGUAAAUAUUGGUGUGAUUUUGAUAUCUCAUGUCUCAGCUGGGCUCGGGCCAGGCCUAAAAGAGGCAAGUCUAAGAAGCAGUUUAGCCAAUUAUUACUGAUUACCUAAAGAUAAACCAGUGACAUAAUUUAGCCAAUAAACUGGCCCCCAGGCCGCGCUCUCGUCAGGACGAGUGAGAGCAGUAUUCUUCCAAGAAGACCCAACCUGAACUCUGUAAAAUCUCUCCUCCAUGAACUGUUGACGGAGAAAUGAGCCAACGGACCGGCGUGAAAGGGAAGCCGCACAUACUAAGCUUCUGCAAAAAUGCUACACCGGAAGGUUUGGCUAGAAAGAUGUAGUCGUGCUAACGUCGUGGUUAGCUUCCCAUGCUCACUUUUUAAAUCAACGGGGACAGAAUAAUUCAUUAUGUAGUUUUGAAGUGCUUUUGAGUUGGUCUUUCCAUAACACACUAGGUUCAUCUCAGUAUGUAUGUAUGUAUGUAUGUAUGUAUGUAUGUAUGUAUGUAUGUGUAUGUAUAUGUGUGUGUGUGUGUGUGUAUGUAUGUGUGUAUAUAUAUAUAUAUAUAUAUAUAUAUUUCACACAUGUUCACACUAACGACGUUAGAUAUAUAAAUAUAAUUAUAAUAUAUUUAUUCUGAUAUUCAUUACACCUAUGUUUAUUAAAAUAUAUUUAUACUGACUUGUAUGAAUGAGAUUAUUAUCAUGUCAUUAUUUUAGGAAUAAACCUUAAUUUUUUAACUGAAAUCUUUAUUGGCAAGACUGAACGUCUCCAAGACACAAAUACAUACAAACUAUGAAGAUUAUCUAGAACUCCCUUCACAGAAAGUGAGGCUACAAAAAUUAACAAAAGUCACUUCACUCUAGGAGGAAAAACAAAAAAACUGAACUUUAUCAAGAUAGCGGGUAAGCACUCUUUUGACAGAGGCACUAUGAAAGAUUAACAAAACAAAAUCACUCCUACGGAGAAAACUGACCAUUCAACUAAAUCUAUGCUACAAAAUUGUACAAAAUCCCUCUUGGAGGAAAACAUCGGGGCAGAACGCAAUGACUUGGUUUCAAAGUCGUAACUAUGGCGAUGCUGGUGUGAACGCAGAUACACAAUGGGACAGGACAAAGGGAAACGCAGACUAUCAGUACACAAGGACAACAGGUGGACACAAUCAGACUGGGGACACAUGACGGAGGGUACGUAACCUGAAACGAGAGCAGAGUUACUAUUUCAAAAUAAAACAGGAAAUGACAAGAUAAAAACACCAGACAAAAUAAAACAAACCACUUCACCGCGGUGUGACAGCUUGUUUAAUACCUUUCUUGCAUUGCAUCAAACUGGGAUGUUCACUGAAACUGAUUCGCUGAACCUACCAAAAGAAAGCGAUGCGUGGGCGACACAAGUCAAUGCCUGCAUGCCUCGCUGAGCUGGUAUUUCCAGAUUUCAGUAUUUGCAGCAAUCUGUAGAAUGUCAGAGGUUUAAUAUAGCGGGUAGAUAGAUGCACCGUGAAGCAUACUAAUCCCGGACCAAGCCUAGUAGCUCCCCACCACAUUAAGAAGUCAUAGAUGGGAUAUUUUCAUUUGCGAUUCCUAUUCCAAGUUUGAAACCUUGUCUAUAACAGAAUGGGGUAUGUGUUAUUUUGGGCCAAUUCAGUUUCUCUCAGUUAAAUUAAUAUGUACAAAAGAACAUUAAGGUGAAGAAGCUUUUCAUUUAAAUACUUUUAUUUGUUUUGUCCCCAUUCGAUCUCAUAUCACAUUUUCCAUCCAUGCACCAGAUGCCUCAAACGUGAACUCCAUUCCCCCUCACCUACCUCCCUAUUUACCCGCUCACUUGUACCCAGUUACUUCAUAUAAAAUAUAAAAAUCCGCCUGUACAGCAGUUGCUCGCCUUAAAUGGAUGUGAUCUUGCAAAUCCGUCAGGAACCAGCCAUUGAAAUUCACCGAAAGCUGCCUCAAAACCCAAGGAAAAAAAUACAGGUUCACAAAAAAAACCCUAAAAGGUUCCGCCUGUCUUUCUGUCCUGAACCAGGAUUUCAAAACUGCUGCCACUUGUUGACGGUGAAGCCAUUGGAAUCAAAUUCAGUAGCACACAUCAGAUAUGUCACACAGGCAAGAAGUCAAGCAAUUGUGAGGAAAGAACGUAAGGACGUCAUUUCCAUUGGGGUUGUGGAGGGCGGAGCUGGCGGCUAGCACCCAUUGGCUGCCAACAUGGCGAGGGCGGAGCCGCAGAUGGAAAUAGUGCUGACAAAGCUUUCAGUGGUUCCCUCUAAAGAAACCUUAGGGAACUAUACAUUGUCUCCACUUUAUCACAAAAGGGGUUGAUUGAUGAAUUAUCUGAAUGUUAUUAAAAUAAUCUUUAACUGUCACCCAGGCAGCUAGGUUUUUAGCCUAACAGCACACACCUGACCCAACGUGGUGACUGGGUGCUGGUGGGGUAGAGCUGCUUAUAAUUGCAUCCAUUUAUUAAACCCAGGUCAGUUUCACCGUACUAGAUGACACCAUCCUAGGAUGCAGCUGCUGACUAGGAUGUCAGCACUGUUAGUUUGCCGUGUUGGGAAUGGAAAGGCACGGAUUUUAGAAGGUCACCAGCAGAAGCUUGGAGUUUGACCUGACGCUUUCACAAAGCCAGAGACUGAAAUAAGAUGUAGCUUAUACUUUAGUGUGGAGGCAGUCAACAGAAAAGCAGCAUUGGAUACAACACAUUUUCAAAUAAGUCAACAAAAUAAAUGGAAAAGCACAAAACCAGAGGAUAUGUUCAUUCCUGAAUGCUAGACAUGUGGUAGAUGCAUCAUACUGUAUACUACCAAAGAGUCACUGGUGUUUUCCUGGUGAUUCCUUAUUUACAUGAAUGAACGUGCUAAAAGGGCCUGGAGCAACAAUGAGCCCUUAGGCCUCUAUUGAUUCCAGUUCAUUUCCCCAGUAAAUUAGAACACUGACUGGGCCCAGACUCUUUGUUUUGUUAUUUAAAUAACAUUAUUUAAAAAAUAAACGCCAUGAGUAGUAAAGUGUUAGAACACUGUUGAAUAAAGUAGACGUUGAUCCUGACAAAGAGCCACUGCUGAUGAAAGCAUGACCUUCUGUUUAUUGCUUUAAAUGGAGCGAGCUCUACUGCAGCCACGCAACAGUAAGUUAAAACAAACAAACAAGGAUUUUUACCCCCGGGGAAAUCUUCCCAUGCGCUGUGUAAAAGCCAGUCCCUGCUGACUUAUUAUGCAUACUUCACUGAUGCCAUGUGCAUACGUUAAGUAAAAUCAUGCUUAUUUUAACUGAAUCAUCACUAAGCGGGGUUGUUGCUUCAACCAGUUACAAACUGCAGGGGCUUGAACAGGAGUAUUGAUUACUUGUGUUGCUGGGAAUUGAUGGACCUUUUAUGCAGCAAAUUGUUUUGUCUGAUUUAGCAGGAAAUUGGGUUCCCACCCGACACACGCUGUGAGCACAAAAUGUGGCAUAGUUGCAGGUAGUGAUGGGGCAAUUUUGUUGUGCAUCUCCCAAAGUGCAAAAGGCAAUAACAUUAUAUUUAUAGGAAACCCUUUGCCAGAACAAAACUAACAAAAAAAGUUGUCAUUUCUCAUCUCUCAAAAUUACUUUUACCUUCCGCCUACCACUAAACUUGCCGUUAGUAACCGCUGUGGUUCAGAGGCUAGUUAACGUUAGCCGUUACAUGCAAUAAAGCAACGCUAUGAGACAAAUUCUGUGAAGCGUCGAGCAGUGAAGUUGUCUCUAUAGACGUAUUUCCAGGUUAUUUAAAGUGCUACAGCUUUCAGUACAAUUCCAUCAACAGAUAGAAACAUUUCAUCUAAAGCUCUUUAAGAAUCAAUCAAUACUUAUUCUCUUUGAUCGCUUCUGGUCCACUUAUUUCAUUUCCAUACUGCACCUUAUCCCCGUUUAGCUACUGCUAAAACGCUCUUAUCAAGGAAUCUAGUGGCUUCAGUCCCUUUAUUGGCUAGCAAAUUAUUAACGGUGACUGUAGUAUCUGUUCAUCACUUCAGAUGGAAAGUGCAGAUGAGAUGCACCUCUGUCAAAACACUUUUCCACCAAAUUGUGAACGAUUUAUUAUUGCCUCCUUUUCAGGAAAUUGGCUCUGCGGUCUCUAUGAAUUAGGAUCCUCUUCACCUGUUCAGAUUCAAGCAGUUUAUCACGGUGGUAAAGAUGCCCCGCGUAUUGUGAACUUUAUUACCUCUUUUCCAGAUUGAAACUAACUCCCGAUGGCACAGUGUUUUCAAAACUGGAACACGUGUCAUCAAUCGAUUGUCUGACUUCUCUGCUCCUCUGAGGGAGAAGGAACACGGCCCCUUUUUAGCUGAAUUCAGUCAUGAACUCCAGUCGGUUCUUAUGGCUCAUGUUUGAUGACUUCUGUAUUCUUUAUGAUUUUCCUGUACAUUUAGUCUGAAAUAUAUACCUCAAAACAAACUUAAGGCCUUAACAAGGCUUAAGAUACUUUUCCACAUGGUCAGCCACUUAUUUCCACCACAACUAUCAUUAUUGCUCAUCUGAAAUACAUGUGAGAAUCAGAAAACCCCAAUAUUAUUCUUUGUAAAUUAACGUCUAAUUAAAGUCAAAAGAUUUUUAUAUGUAGGGAAACAGAGUGAAGUCACAACUUGGAUCACCAUCUCAUCAUCCAUCCAGACCUAAAGUUUGCCAGUUGGCUGUAAAGGUAAAGCGAGUUUUAGUGGAGCUCCGGCGGCUUCCACAAAAUCUCUGGCCCAUAUACGGUUAUUGAAGUCCUCCUUUUCACACGUCCUACGUCGUCAACGCGUUCAGCUCAGGGAUUGGCUGAGCGGUGGUACGGAACCUCAAACCGCACCUCGUAACGGAUUUCCUACCUUUCGACAGCCAUUACCUGUUCGAAAAAUUCAAUCUUAGUGGCACGUGGUGUUCUGGUUAAACCGAUGUUCAGGAUGAUUGAAACAGGAUAUUAUCCUAAGGAACCUCUGUUGCCUAGGUGACAAAGACAGGGGGAGAAGGGGGGGUAAUGUUAGCGAGUAGGAGACGCUCUCUGAUUCCUCCCUCACUGUCCGUCCCUCGGCUCUUUCAUGACUGAUAGCUUCAGAUGUCCCACAUGACGGUUCCCCCGAUAUCAGCCAGUCUAGCACAUUUGUGUGAAUGUCGCUGAGUGGAUGAAGUUAGCUGUUAGCUACACAAACUAUGCUUACGUUAAGUAACUGUAGCAGCGAUGGAGCUACACCCGCAGGAUCUUUUGGAGGGACGCAUGGAUACGACUUUAUUUAUUCAUUUAUUUGGUGUGAGCCGCGAAGGAAACCUUCGAGAAUCGUUGAUGCACGAGCCGACCCCGAAUCAACCUUGGUGGGACGAGACACGAUGGGCUUGGGUUUGCGACAAUCAGUAAAAUACAGCGUGUGCGAUUUCAGCAGUUCAUUACACACAUCUCUUGACAAGAGAAGCCCAGAGAGGGUGCUGACACGGGGAGGACAGGCACACUGAGCUGUGGAGAUGCAAUUUUUCAUCUUGGGACUUUGUGUGCAGAUAGAAUUUCUACACUCAAUAUUUGUGCGCUGCACCCAAUAACCGAAAAGGAGCAUUAGCCUCUCAACAAAGACAUGGUUAUUCUAGUGCUUUGACCUUGAAUGUUAAUCACAUGGCUCACAUGCACCUUGUUGACCCAGUGAGCUCCAGCAUUUCUUGUCACAUUUGAUAACAAGUGGAUAUUCAUCUGCAAAGUGACAUUGGUAUAAUAAAAACACAUCACGUCUCCUCUACCAGGAUCUUUUUGUCACGUUUAAUUACCAAGAAAGCCAAGCAUCAAUUACUGCAGUUGACAUUUGCAGUUUUGCGCAAAUAUCAAAGAGGACUUCUGGGGGUUAUUUUCAGCCGUGGAGGUAACAUGCAUUUUCACCCUGCAGGCAGGGAUGAAGAAAUAGAGUAGAUGAAUAGACGAGAGCAGACAACCGGGGGAGGGGGGACAGUGAUAAAUGAGCUGACAAAUGUUGUUUGUGUAAGAUCAUGAUAGCCGUGAGAGAGCUAUAAUCCACACUAGCGAUCUGUGCCAGAGGGACACAUGCAAAGUGAUGAGAGAGAGAGACCACCAACCAAGAUGAGGCUUCUCUAAUGAAGGCUCUUCAUACGAUGUACGACUCAAUUAACUUUGUGAAUUAUUUUAAUUUGAUAGCAUUCCCAUAUAUUAUAUAUUUUUUAGCAGUGCACCCCAUAAUACUAUAACACUUUCAGAAUAUGAAUGCGGCAUCUGCAGAGGUGGUACACGAUGUACGCAUAUACGUGUCUCUACUGCAGUGUCAAGUGAACCUGCCAGAAGGGAUGGAAAACCCUUUUCAAGUAAUUCAACAAACUUAACUUUUUGCAGAGAUGAGACAUACUGAAGAAAAAGAUCACAAAUAGUUAACAUGGCAUAGGUAGUUGACGGCCUGUAUUGCAGGAGAUUAACCAUUAUUGUUAUAGUUUGAACAUUGUAGCUGUGGUUGAAACAUACUUAUGUUUGGGUUGUUAACUUUUAUGCGAGCGAGUAACAUUUGUUAUCUCAUAGCUGAUUUUAAUAUCAAACAGCUUAAGGAGGAAAAUCUACAGUUCCAAAAUCUGAAAGAAGACAAAGUAUUGUCCACCUGCCUGGAGGAGAUAAAGGCGUGGAUGAAGCAAAGCUUUCUGCAGCUAAACAGCUCCAAGACUGAAGCCAUCUUAGGCGGCACUC
ensembl:lncRNA